rnacentral:rRNA from 1 species
UCUACGGGAGGCAGCAGUGGGGAAUUUUGGACAAUGGGGGCAACCCUGAUCCAGCAAUGCCGCGUGAGUGAAGAAGGCCCUCGGGUUGUAAAGCUCUUUUGUCAGGGAAGAAACGGUCUACUCUAAUACAGUGGGCUAAUGACGGUACCUGAAGAAUAAGCACCGGCUAACUACGUGCCAGCAGCCGCGGUAAUACGUAGGGUGCAAGCGUUAAUCGGAAUUACUGGGCGUAAAGCGUGCGCAGGCGGUUUUAUAAGUCUGAUGUGAAAUCCCCGGGCUCAACCUGGGAACUGCAUUGGAGACUGUAAGGCUAGAGUGUGUCAGAGGGGGGUAGAAUUCCACGUGUAGCAGUGAAAUGCGUAGAUAUGUGGAGGAAUACCGAUGGCGAAGGCAGCCCCCUGGGAUAACACUGACGCUCAUGCACGAAAGCGUGGGGAGCAAACAGGAUUAGAUACCCUGGUAGUCCACGCCCUAAACGAUGUCUACUAGUUGUCGGGUCUUAAUUGACUUGGUAACGCAGCUACGCGUGAGUAGACCGCCGUGGGAGGUACGGUCGCGAGAGUAAACGUACGAAAGAAGUAGACGGCGUGAGACGUGCCGACGGACGACGACGAGGGAGGAGGG